rnacentral:rRNA from 1 species
CAGCCGCCGCGGGAAUACGAAGGGUGCAAGCGUUAAUCGGAAUUACUGGGCGUAAAGCGUGCGUAGGCGGUGAGUUAAGUCUGCUGUGAAAUCCCCGGGCUCAACCUGGGAAUGGCAGUGGAUACUGGCUCGCUAGAGUGUGUCAGAGGAUGGUGGAAUUUCCGGUGUAGCGGUGAAAUGCGUAGAGAUCGGGAGGAACAUCAGUGGCGAAGGCGGCCAUCUGGGACAACACUGACGCUGAGGCACGAAAGCGUGGGGAGCAAACAGGAUUAGAUACCCCCGUAGUCCCUGUCUCUUAUAC